rnacentral:ncRNA from 1 species
GCAAAGCCGUUGAAAGACGGCGACGCAAAGCUGUGAGUCUACGGCAGGGCAUCUGCUAGGAUAGUCAAGCUGC